rnacentral:rRNA from 1 species
CUCUGUUUGAAGAUAUAAAGAGUAUAACCUGCUCACUGAUAAAAGUUUAAGAGCCGCAGUAUUUUGACUGUGCAAAGGUAGCAUAAUCGUUUGUUUUUUAAUUGGAAUCUUGUAUGAAUGGUUGGACAAGAGAAAAACUGUCUUUAUAAGAAAAAUUGAAUUUAACUUUUAGAUGAAAAGGUCUAAAUAAAUUAAAGGGACGAUAAGACCCUAUAAAGCUUAAUAUAAAAAGUUAGUUAAUUAAAUUUUAUUAAAAUAAAAAUGAAUUAAUUUAAUAUAUUUUGUUGGGGCGACAGAGGUAAAAUUAUUAUUAACUACUUAAAUAAAAUUCAAAUAUAAGUGUAAUUUUAAAAGAUCCUAGUUAAAGAUUUAAAGUUUAAGUUACUUUAGGGAUAACAGCGUUAUUUUUUUUGAGAGUACUUAUCGAGAAAAAAGUUUGCGACCUCGAUGUUGAAUUAAAAUAUCUUUAUAAUUGCAGAAGUUAUAAAAGAAGGUCUGUUCGACCUUUAAAUUUUUACAUGAUUUGAGUUCAGACCGGCGUGAG